UAAUGUAUGGGGAUCUGCCCAUAGAGGGGAUAACUACUGGAAACGGUGGCUAAUACCGCAUAAUGUCUACGGACCAAAGCAGGGGCUCUUCGGACCUUGCACUAUCGGAUGAACCCAUAUGGGAUUAGCUAGUAGGUGGGGUAAAGGCUCACCUAGGCGACGAUCUCUAGCUGGUCUGAGAGGAUGAUCAGCCACACUGGGACUGAGACACGGCCCAG
rnacentral:rRNA from 1 species